GAUCCAAGAAAACAUCUCCCUCUUGGAACGACCCCAAUCGGAUGGAAUGCCCAGUGAUGCCGGUAGAAAAGGCCAGGGAGACCAUCAGGGCCCGGAGACUUCGAAGCUCCUAACUGGCAAGUGGCUAGCCCUGAGAUCUGUAAAGCUGAGAGAAGAAGCCCUGCGCAAGAUCUUUUAACUGAUCUGGUUCUCGGAUCCACUGAUGGUUAGUAUCUAAGAGCAUUGUAAUUCGAUUGCGUUG